rnacentral:rRNA from 1 species
AGAACGAACGCUGGCGGCAGGCCUAACACAUGCAAGUCGAACGCUCGUAGCAAUACGGGAGUGGCAGACGGGUGAGUAACACGUGGGAACAUGCCCUUCGGUUCGGAAUAACUCAGGGAAACUUGAGCUAAUACCGGAUACGAUCGAGAGAUGAAAGAUUCAUCGCCGAAGGAUUGGCCCGCGUCCGAUUAGCUAGUUGGUGAGGUAACGGCUCACCAAGGCGACGAUCGGUAGCUGGUCUGAGAGGAUGAUCAGCCACACUGGGACUGAGACACGGCCCAGACUCCUACGGGAGCAGCAGUGGGGAAUAUUGGACAAUGGGCGCAAGCCUGAUCCAGCCAUGCCGCGUGAGUGAUGAAGGCCCUAGGGUUGUAAAGCUCUUUCGUCAGGGACGAUAAUGACGGUACCUGAAGAAGAAGCCCGGCUAACUUCGCGCCAGCAGCCGC